CUUUCUGACUUUCUCUCUCUCCCCGCGCCGCCCCGAGAAAAUCGUCUCCCUCGGGUGAGGAGGAGGCGGCGAGGGUUUGGGCCUCCUGGUCCGACCUCGACGGCGCCGACGAGCUCGCGCCCAAGAUUCCUUUCCUCAACGGCGCAGGUCGUAAAUUUUGUGCUCAGCCAAGCAACAAGGCACAAGGUGGUUAUAUCCAUACUGUCAUUGUGCUUGUGCAGAAAAAAAAGGAAGUCCGUACGUGUAGGGAAUCAUUGAUAUCUGCAACGGGUACAAAAAGGGUCAUGCAUGGGUGAGCUAGACAAACAACGUGGAUCCCUAUUUCUGUUGAGGUCACCAACCAAUUCUUAAGUUUUGAACCAUGGGAAGGCCUUCAUGCAUGAGCUGCUGUAAGUAGAUGACGACUUUUGUUGAAAAGCUUGGUUCAUGUAGAGCUCGUAGUUAGCUCUGUAGGCCAUACCCUUUUGUUGGUGAUCUUAGCUCAUGGACCUGGAAAAGGCCUCAGAAUAGGCUAUGUGAGCAAGCCAUGUAUGCAUGCCCUGAUAUAUGAACUUGUUGCUUUGGACGUUUUUGUGUGAGAGUGCAUGCAUGUAUGCCUCCUGCUAUUUAUAACAUUCUUUGAAUUUUACUACUGUACUUUGUAGCAGAACAUUCAGUAACCAGCUGUAUCUGUAACAAUUGGCCAAGACAAGACUAUAUAUACGUCCUACUCCCUACCCAUUUGGACCUGUCCC